GCUCCGGUGACCUAGGGGUUAGAGCGCCCGCCUCGGAAGCGGGAGGUUGUGGGUUCAAACCCCGGUUGAGCCA